AGCAGCAUGGCGCAGAUGGAAGCGCGCGGGGCCCAUAUAAUUAUGUAAGCGAUUGCGUAAUGAGUUACCCCGAGGUCACUCGAUCGAAACGAGUUGCUGCUA